rnacentral:rRNA from 1 species
AUACGGAAGGUCCGGGCGUUAUCCGGAUUUAUUGGGUUUAAAGGGAGCGCAGGCGGCACUUCAAGCGUGACGUUAAAUUUCGGGGCUCACCCCCGUUAUGCGUCGCGAACUGUUGUGCUUGAGUAGGCGGCAGGGAGGCGGAAUUCGCGGUGUAGCGGUGAAAUGCUUAGAUAUCGCGAGGAACUCCGAUAGCGCAGGCAGCCUCCCGUUGCUUUACUGACGCUCAUGCUCGAAGGUGCGGGUAUCGAACAGGAUUAGAUACCCUGGUAGUCCGCACUGUAAACGAUGGAUGCCCGCUGUUGGGCCUUUUGGGUUCAGUGGCCAAGAGAAAUCGUUAAGCAUCCCACCUGGGGAGUACGCCGGCAACGGUGAAACUCAAAGGAAUUGACGG